UUUAACUUUCAAAUGGUCAUAACUCGGAAAGUUAAGACAAAAACACAAAAAAAUAAACAAAACAAUAAAAGAAAUGAAAAAGUAAAAUUUCUGAGAGAUGAAUGUACCUUCUCGUCAUCAUAAAUCAAUGGCUUCGAUGUCAUUUUGACAAUUGAAAUUUCAAUAGAACAUGUAUGUUGGCUCAGUGGACUGGUUUUGUAGAAUAAGUUUUGUGCAUUGAAUA